CCGGUCCCGGUCCCUGUCCCUGCCGCCGCGCCGCCACCCGGGCCUGGUGCGGCAGUAGCGCCCACCCCUCGCGCCGGUUUGUUAUCAUCUCAGUAGUGUGAUCCUGAGGCAGCCCUACACUGUCAUGACACCUCCAGUAAAGUUAGGACUUGUGAGGGAGACACCAGUGUUUAAGAUGAACCUCUAGUUCCCUAUGAGUGCAAGAACCACUAAACCUGGGCAGUUCUCAACCAUAUCACUCCACAGUCAUCUGCCCUCAUGGAUACUCUGUACACACUUAUGUACUUGCUCAGCUUUACCCAGCAUCAGACUGGCAGUCAUAUAAAUGAGUGAUGCUCCGUGAUGUUCUCUUCCAAGCAGGCUACAAAAUUGGCAGGGAGUCUUCAGUUUUGUGCUGAUGUGUUCUGAAUUCAAAUAAUUUGAUUCUUGGAUAUAAUGACAAUUGGAAGCACAGUAUUACCUUGAGAAAAGAGAUGGGAGAGACAGCUGCUGUACCCCGCACUCAGGAAAGAUAUUGCAUUAACAACUGCUUCCCAUUUACUCUCUCUGCUGAAAACUCUAUUAUGCUGGGUUCUUAUUGCCCUUAUUCAAGGGCAUGGAAUUAAAAAGUGAUAUUGAUGGUAAUGCUCUCAUCUUCUUACCACGACUGAAUAAUGGGGACAAUGAAAUAAAAUCUUGAAUGAUAAUAUGCCUUUUAAAAUAAUGCUGAUAUUAAAUAUGUCUAAAGGACAGUGCAUUUGAAUAGCAGCUGAUGAAGUAAUGUUCAUAGCAUUAUAUAUGCCCUCUUGCCAUUUUAAAAUCAUUUGUUUUUAUUUUUGCCAUUGUUGAUGGAACAUUUUCUUUUCCUGUAAUUGCUGGAGAGAUGUCCUGCUUUAAAGAAUAUAGUUGCAGAGGGGCUGGAAAUAAAAUGCGUGUUAAAUUAA